rnacentral:rRNA from 1 species
GACGAAGGGGGCUAGCGUUGUUCGGAAUUACUGGGCGUAAAGCGCGUGUAGGCGGUUGCCAUAGUCAGGUGUGAAAGCCUUGAGCUUAACUCAAGAAAUGCACUUGAUACUGGGCGACUAGAGGACCGGAGAGGAUAGUGGAAUUCCCAGUGUAGUGGUGAAAUACGUAGAGAUUGGGAAGAACACCAGUGGCGAAGGCGGCUAUCUGGACGGUUUCUGACGCUAAGACGCGAAAGCGUGGGGAGCAAACAGG